CCCAGCGAAGUCGGCGCCGGAACUGCCCUAAUGGAAACCAGCCGCCGGGCGCUCCGGGAGGGCUCAGGCCGACCCCGGGGUCCAUUAGAGGCGCCCCAGGCCGAGGGAGCCCGCGGCGGCUGGAAGGUGAACUUGACAUCCCGGCUCCACCGACCCCGCAGCGGCUCGCACCUCAUCCCCACUCCGGCCAGACCAAAGAGUCGGGCUCCCCGUUCCCCGCGAUGGCCGCGGGCCGCAGUCGUACGGAGCCGCCGCGCGGACCCCGGGGCGCCCCUCCCUAGCGGGGCGCAGCUCCUUCUUGUUCCCCGCCCUGCCAGCGGGAUGGGGGGCGGCGGGUCGGCCCUGAGGGUCUGCGCCGACCACCGCGGGGGCAUCAACUGGCUGAGCCUGAGCCCCGACGGGCAGCGCCUGCUGACGGGCAGCGAGGACGGCACGGCCCGGCUCUGGAGCACCGCGGACGGCCAGUGCUGCGCGCUCCUGCAAGGUGCCUUGUGGCCUCUUUGUGGCCAAUUGUGCUCUUCUGCUGGCAUUUCCUGUUGACGACUCUCACAGCAACAGUAGACGC
rnacentral:lncRNA from 1 species